GACGAACGCUGGCGGCGUGCUUAACACAUGCAAGUCGAACGGAAAGGCCCUGCUUUUGUGGGGUGCUCGAGUGGCGAGCGGGUGAGUAACACGUGAGUAACCUGCCCUUGACUUUGGGAUAACUUCAGGAAACUGGGGAUAAUACCGGAUAGGAGCUCCUGCUGCAUGGUGGGGGUUGGAACGCUUCGGCGGUUGGGGAUGGACUCGCGGCUUAUCAGCUUGUUGGUGGGGUAGUGGCUUACCAAGGCUUUGACGGGUAGCCGGCCUGAGAGGGUGACCGGCCACAUUGGGACUGAGAUACGGCCCAGACUCCUACGGGAGGCAGCAGUGGGGAAUAUUGCACAAUGGGCGGAAGCCUGAUGCAGCAACGCCGCGUGCGGGAUGACGGCCUUCGGGUUGUAAACCGCUUUCGCCUGUGACGAAGCGUGAGUGACGGUAAUGGGUAAAGAAGCACCGGCUAACUACGUG
rnacentral:rRNA from 1 species